UUCCGACGCUGACUUCAUGUAUUUCUGGAUAGAUUCGAGGCCCAGGUCGUCGUGUAGGUCAACGUUCCUCACGAACCACGGAGCUCCGACGGCUAACCUGCAAAAGCGGGAUUGUAGAAAUUGGAGGGUGUCUAUGUGUGUGCGGGCCGCGUAAGCGAACACCACACUCGCGUAAGUCAUGACGGGCCUUAUGCAAGUUUUGUAAAGUGUCACCUUGUUCCGAAGAGACAUUUUACUCCGCUUACAGAUCAUGGGGGGGACAUUGUUCUUGCAAGCGAGCACACCUCUUAUUUCGAUUUAUCAUUUUUCUGUCAAUAAUCAUGCCAGCAUGUGUAGUGAAGUGGUGCAGGAGCCAUUCAAGGUUAAAAUGCCCAGGGAUCACUUUUCACUAUUUUCCUGCUGAUGCAAUUCGGCAAAAAAAGUGGAUAGCUGCAGUGAAGUUGGAAAGACAGGAAUAUGACUGGAUGCCUGUAAAAACUAGCAGAGUAUGCUCUAUUCAUUUUGAUAAAAAAGAUUUUUACAAAUCAUUAAAAGGUUUAUACAAUGUUACACAAAACUGCAGUAACAAUUUGUACAAUGAUUCGUUUUGAAGAAACAUCAACAUCUUCAAGGAAUACUACAGAAAAUGAAUACAACAAUAAUGAAAGAUUACAGUCGGUUGAUAACAAUUCAUUUUUUGCAAAUUUUAAAGUAGAAUAUAACGAUGGCGCGGCAGAGGAACCAAGAAAAAAAAUAUUUGAAGAUAAUCUUGUUUCAAAUGAAGUCAAUACUUUUGAAGAUAGAGGUUCAUCCGUUACGCCGAUAAAUAUACCAUCAUCAGAUAUUGAAUCUGCACUGAAUACACCUAGAACACACAUGUUAAAACAUAAACUACGAAAAAAAUCUAUUUUGGCAGUGAAACGACUAUCACAGAUCAGAAAUCUAGAACGCAGAAAUAAAAGAUUAGUUGUGAAGAAUAUUUCACUUAAAAAUAUUUUAUCCCAAUUGAAGAAAAAUGGAUUUGGCAAUACCGCAGAAAAUACUGCAUGUAAUGAAUUUUUUGAUGAUAUCGUUUUAGCCCUACAAAGGAAAAAGUCAAAAGAUGGACGAAGUAUCGUAAAGUUUACACCAGCCAUUAAAAAAUUCGCUUUGACGCUAAACUUAUUAUUCACCAGCAGGAUAUAAAUAUGUGAGACGACAGUUGCUUUCAUCUCUUCCUCAUCCGUCAACCUUAUCUAAAUGGUACCAAUCCAUAGAUGGAAAGCCAGGCUUUACCGAAGAAGCAUUCGCAGCUUUAAAGUUAAAAUACUCUAGAUACUAAAUAGUGGGCACAUUUGCAGAAACUCAAAAAUGUCCAAGACAAUAUUGGAUUGCAUUUUGGGAAUAAGUUAUCAAAUCGGCAUAUAGAGUUCCGAAAUAAUAUAAUGAACAUGAAACUAGCGACUCAAACUUUAAGUCAAAGUGUAGCUGAUGUGAUUAAGUUUUGUUCGCAGCAAUUAAGCAUGCCUGAUUUCAAGACACAUGCAACUGCUAUCUUUUUAGAAACGUUUAAUAACCUCUUUGAUAUACUAAACGCAAGAUCACUUUCUGAAAAGGGGUUUAAACACCCUUUUUCGGUUGAACAAAAAGAAACACUAUACAAUAUUCUGGAUGUAAGCGAAAAACAUAUAAAAAAUCUCCAAAUCAUUGUGCAGUCCAAAAAAAACUCAAACAGUAAAUGGACAAAGAGUAACGGUAUAUACCAACUCCUUAAAACCAGUGACCAAAACUCAGUCUAAAACUGGAUUUCUAGGUCUUCUUAUUUGUAUUUCUAGUUUUAAAUUACUUUUUGCUCGCUUAGUAGAGGCACAAAUAUUGAAAUUUAUUUUACCUUCCAAAUUUAGCCAAUCAAUCGCAAUCGCGGUCGUUGCAACAAUAACCCAAACGCCUGUCAAUUUAUGGGAAUAUAUGAAAAUACUUUAAUGAACUUGAACCUCAGCUCUAAAUUCACAGGCAACAGCAUAUCAUUAGAGGAUAUUCCAAUUCUAAAUUGCUCUUCGGUAAUCAAUAACACCACUCCUGGCUUUAGAAAUAAUACAGACAGUGCUAGUUACUCUACUGCAGCAGGUGAGAGUAAAACAGAAGAAGAAAAUUGCAUGGAGCUAUCAAACAUGCUGGAUGCUAGAAUUUAAUUGCCAGAAACUGUAGAGCAAAUAGUAGGCUUUGUAACCCGAAAACUGCAGGUGAAAAUCAACUCUCCAGAAUGCUUAUUAUUACUACCUGCUAAUGAAAAAUUGUAUUUACAUAAGCUGAUUAGCUUGAAAGAUUUCGGUGGACUCUGGUAUCAAUCUGUGGUGUUGUAUAAAAUAUGCAUACGCACAGAAACACUAAUAAGACAAAUAAUAAAAAUACAUGAUAACGGAAAAUCACUUACUCGACCAAGUAAUCUGUCAGUAAUAUCUACGCAGUGUUUUUCUAAAAUAAUUGACAAUGAAGAUAUUCUGCGCUAAUUAAAAAACAGUCACCAGACAAAUAAUGACCAUUUCAUUUUUUUUAUAAAAUGUGUAAUCGUUGAAUUUCUUAGAAUCCGUCUUGCGAAAAAGAUUAUUUUUUAAUGUCUUCUAGGCAAAAACUUAAUAAAUUAAUUAUAUUUCGAGGAACAUACAGUUUAUUAAAAAAAAAAAAAUUAUAAACAUUAUACAA